rnacentral:rRNA from 1 species
GAUGAACGCUGGCGGCGUGCCUAAUACAUGCAAGUCGAGCGAACAGACGAGGAGCUUGCUCCUCUGACGUUAGCGGCGGACGGGUGAGUAACACGUGGAUAACCUACCUAUAAGACUGGGAUAACUUCGGGAAACCGGAUCUAAUACCGGAUAACAUGUUGAACCGCAUGGUUCAACAGUGAAAGACGGUCUUGCUGUCACUUAUAGAUGGAUCCGCGCCGCAUUAGCUAGUUGGUAAGGUAACGGCUUACCAAGGCAACGAUGCGUAGCCGAUCUGAGAGGGUGAUCGGCCACACUGGAACUGAGACACGGUCCAGACUCCUACGGGAGGCAGCAGUAGGGAAUCUUCCGCAAUGGGCGAAAGCCUGACGGAGCAACGCCGCGUGAGUGAAGAAGGUCUUCGGAUCGUAAAGCUCUGUUAUUAGGGAAGAACAACUGUGUAAGUAACUAUGCACGUUUUGACGGUACCUAAUCAGAAAGCCACGGCUAACUACGUG